CUAAAAAACUGUCAAAUGGUAACAGCCCUACUUUCUACGCCAGGAAAACCCACUGUUGAGUUAGUUGGCUCUGAUUCCAAUGGUCUCAUCAGCUUUCUGAACGUAGGUACCUCAGCAGUGCCUCUUCCAAGAUAACAAAAUGAACUUUUAGAGAUUAAAAAAAUACAUUUUGGCAAUUGAAACUCACCAGCGCCUUUCUGCUUCUCCAGGAAGUUGUACCCGUCAGCACCUGCUGAGGGCUUUGUUGUCCAAACUCUGACAGGUAAAAAAAUUCCUGUAGAAUAAAGCCAGACCAGCUGGCUUUGAAGAGAAACCCCCCAGUUUGGGCUGCGUUUGUCUCCUCUCCUUUUCUAUGAAGACCCAGGCUUUCCCCCCUUGAUCGUCAAGCCGUAAGAUGCGUGAUCCCUGUGCACAAGUGUCUGGCAGGCCGAGGUGCACCUGUUCCUGUCACUCUGGAGUAAAUUUAGCUGUAAAGGUAUCACUGACAACCAGACCUUUGUCAGAGCUGGCAAAAGAACACAGAACUGCUGCCCUCCCCCACCCCUUCCAAACCCCUUCGCUGCUCGUUCAAAUGGAAAAUGUCAAAUCGGAAGUCUAUCCAAAAAUCAUUCCUGAAAAAAUGAGAUUGCUUUCAUAUGGUAAAAAGGCACCACUUUCAGAUAAAAACAUAGACCUGAAUGGCAUCAUCCAGUAUCCAAGGAAACCAUGUAGGUGUGUGCUUGGUGUCUACACAGAUGCUUGGACACAGAGAAGCAAAAUAUGGAGAGAUGGGGUCCGCACCUCAGGCUGAGUGUUCACCUUCUCUGGAACGAGAAACUGUCACCGCUAAGGAAUACUGUCACCGCUAAAGAACACCACACUGUCCAGUAUGGGGGCUGAUCAGAGAGACUGUUCAUGUAAGACUGAAUCUUACAAGCAGUGAUGCCACAGGCACGCCUACAGGAGCGUCCCCAGGCACGCGCAUGUCUCACAAUACCCUGUCCUAUCUCUUUCUCUUUACUUUGUCAUCAUUUGUUUUUUAUUCUCACUGCUUCUCAUAAAAAAGCCUUUCUGCAUACCUUGCAAUUGUUUCACGAUUCUGCAGUUUUCAUCUAGACCCUUACACAUUCUGGGAAUGGAGUGCUUGCACGGCGAA
rnacentral:lncRNA from 1 species